rfam:Branchiostoma floridae genomic scaffold BRAFLscaffold_19, whole genome shotgun sequence.
CUUGCACAUAAAAACUCUUUAAGCCCUCCACUGACAAUUGGACUGCUUAAGUCGAUGUGCAGACAGAAAGUGGAGCUUGUCGCCUCCCCAGACUGGUCCUGUGUCUGCGGGAGUGAAUUGAAGCUUUGACAAUA